GAGAGAGAGAGAGAGAGAGGGAGUUUGCAAUUGGAAAGGGAGAGAUUAGGGCUGUUUAGAGGAGAGAUGGACAGAACAGAAUUUUUUUAGGUAGAUGAAUGGGGAAUACAAAAAUAAUUAACGGUUUUCGAACGUGUAAGUGGGAAUGGGAACUUAGAUUGAUUGAUGAGUGCCACUGCCACAACCUCGACCCUAUUCCUGGGAGAGAAUAGUGUGAUUUCAUUACUUUAUAACUCCCG
rnacentral:lncRNA from 1 species